UUACUUAUCUGACAGGGGAGACACCAUGAUCAGGCAGGUGGUUUUCCCAGGGUGAGGCUCAUCCUUUGCACUCCAGGUGUGCUGACCCCUGCAAUUUCCCCAAAUGCGGGAAACUCGACUGCAUAAUUUGUGGUAGCAGAAUUUAUUUUUAGGUGAGGAGAAAGUUCUU